GAUUGCCCUAGUAACGGCGAGUGAAGCGGCAACAGCUCAAAUUUGAAAUCUGGCCCUCGGGUCCGAGUUGUAAUUUGUAGAGGAUGCUUUUGGUGCGGUACCUUCCGAGUUCCCUGGAACGGGACGCCAUAGAGGGUGAGAGCCCCGUCUGGUUGGAUGCCAAUCCUCUGUAAAGCUCCUUCGACGAGUCGAGUAGUUUGGGAAUGCUGCUCUAAAUGGGAGGUAUAUGUCUUCUAAAGCUAAAUAUUGGCCAGAGACCGAUAGCGCACAAGUAGAGUGAUCGAAAGAUGAAAAGCACUUUGAAAAGAGAGUUAAAAAGCACGUGAAAUUGUUGAAAGGGAAGCGCUUAUGACCAGACUUGGGCUUGGUUGAUCAUCCGGCGUUCUCGCCGGUGCACUCUUCCGGCUCAGGCCAGCAUCAGUUUGCUUCGGGGGAUAAAGGCUUUGGGAAUGUGGCUCCCUCGGGAGUGUUAUAGCCCACUGUGUAAUACCCUGGAGCGGACUGAGGUACGCGUUCUGCAAGGAUGCUGGCGUAAUGGUCAUCAGUGACCCGUCUUGAAACACGGACCAAGGAGUCGUCUUCGUAUGCGAGUGUUCGGGUGUCAAACCCCUACGCGUAAUGAAAGUGAACGCAGGUGAGAGCUUCGGCGCAUCAUCGACCGAUCCUGAUGUUCUCGGAUGGAUUUGAGUAAGAGCAUACGGGGCCGGACCCGAAAGAAGGUGAACUAUGCCUGUGUAGGGUGAAGCCAGAGGAAACUCUGGUGGAGGCUCGCAGCGGUUCUGACGUGCAAAUCGAUCGUCAAACAUGGGCAUGGGGGCGAAAGAC
rnacentral:rRNA from 1 species